ACAGCUGCAGUUCUCCUACCAGGGUUCCACCAAUCACACAUUUUCUUUGACGACUGUUUUUCAGAUUCCGAAACUCGAAACAACAGUGCUAAUUCUCAUUGGCUCCAACAUUAACACCAACAUAAAGUGCUUAACAAUGACCACUAGAGGGAGCCACAGACUGUUUGCCAUCAAUGGAUGAUGUCAUGUUGACGGUUCACCAACAGAUGAUGUAGAUGAAGGUCCAGAUGGUUCAGAGUCUCAGUGUUCUUCCUCUCUCUCCUCCCCUCUCACUGCAGACAUGAAACACUGGCUGACAAACAUCCUGAUUCUGACUCUCUGGCUCGAGUGUAAAGGAGAAGACAGAGUGAUCCAGCCCACAGCAGAUGUCAUUGCUGCUGAAGGACACCACGUCACACUUCAAUGUUCCUUUGAAACCAGCAGCACAAGCAAUUAUUUGUUCUGGUACCAACAAGAACUAAAUGGUUCUCCAGAGUUUAUGUUGCAACGUGAUAAAUUUGGAACAAGAAGAAAUGCUGCAGAGUUCAACAAAGAGAGAUUUGAUGCUGAAGUCAACAAGACAUCAGUUGAUCUGAAGAUCCAGAAGCUGCAGCUGCGAGACUCUGCUGUGUACUACUGCGCUCUGCAGCCCACAGGUUGUGUCCUUUCACCUUAUUUGUUCUAUAUACCAACAUGUGCCAAAGUCAACACCAAGGAUUCUGUCGUGUCUCUUAAACUCAGAUGA